AGGUGGUCUACGAAACGGAAGCACCAGACUUUCUAAUAUCCUGGGUGGAGGACAGACGUGUACAGUUUGUACCCCCUUUUGACCGCUCACCCUCCUUGAAAACCAGGUGCCCGGGUGUCACACAACUCAGACGCUAUCUCCAGCAGCACACGUGCCCUGGGCGUCCCCACAGUGCAGACACGCUGAGGGACACCAGCCAGAGACGAAGCCUCUGCUGAGGACACUGAAAACACUUGAACUUACACCUGGUACGCAAUGCUUCGGUAUCCUGUCUUACUUAGAAAUUACCUAGGUAGACAGUGAUUGCCAUCAUUAACUCAAUUUAAUGUGCGUCCAAGCUGUACCCUGGAAUACUGUUAAAGUAAAAACAAUGUCAGAAUUCUAUUCAACUUAGUUGAAAACAAAUUUACAUUUCUCUUAACUUUAAACAUCAUGUAAGAGUAAUAUUAGCUGAUUUGAUAAGUAAACCUGUAGAAGUUCGGGGGGAAACCAAUUACAAUAAAAUGUAUCAAUGUUAUAUUGAUAUAUUGAUUAUUACAUGUAAUCAAUAUUAAGUAUAAUACUGAUAAAUCAGAGAAAAGACACAGCUUUUUAAAACCCCAAAUUAUUAAUUUAUCCUCAUUUGCCAAAGAUUUAUCUUAAUUAUGUGAACCUGCAUUCUUUUUUGUGAUACAGUUUAUGUAUAGGUUACAGGUGUACAACAUAGUGAUUCACAAUUUUUAAAGGUUAUACUCCAUUUAUAGUUAUUAUAAAAUAUUGGCUGUAUUCCCUGUGGUGUACAAUAUUACCCUUGUAGAUUAUUUAUUUUAUACAUAGUAGUUUGUACCUCUUAAUCCCCUCCCCGUCUUGCCCCUCCCCCUUCCCUCUUCCUCUGGUAGCUACUGGUUUGUUCUCUGUACCUGUGAGUCUGUUUGUAAACCUGUAUUCUUAAAACGUUUCUGAGUUUGGACUUCCUUGGUGGCGCAGUGGUUAAGAAUCCGCCUGCCAAUGCAGGGGACACGGGUUCAAGCCCUGGUAUGGGAAGAUCCCACAUGCUGCGGACCAACUAAGCCCACAAGUGCACCACAACUACUGAGCCUGCGCUCUAGAGCCCAUGAGCCACGACUACUGAGCCCACGUGCCACAACUGCUGAGCCCGCAUGCCACAACUACUGAAGCUUGCACUCCGCAACAAGAGAAGCCACCGCAAUGAGAAGCCCGCGCACCAUAACGAAGAGUAGCCCCCUCUCGCCGCAACUAGAGAAAGUCCGCGCACAGCAACGAAGACCCAACGCAGCCAAAAAUAAAUAAAUAAAUAAAAUUUGAGUUUCUUUCUGUGCAUUUAAAA